rnacentral:rRNA from 1 species
UACGGGGGGCGCAAGCGUUGUUCGGAUUUACUGGGCGUAAAGGGCGCGUAGGCGGCGCAACAAGUCACUUGUGAAAUCUCCGGGCUUAACUCGGAACGGUCAAGUGAUACUGUCGGACUAGAGUACAGAAGGGGCAACUGGAAUUCUCGGUGUAGCGGUGAAAUGCGUAGAUAUCGAGAGGAACACCUGCGGCGAAGGCGGGUUGCUGGGCUGAUACUGACGCUGAGGCGCGAAAGCCAGGGGAGCGAACGGG